rnacentral:rRNA from 1 species
GUGACCUCAAAUCAGGUAGGACUACCCGCUGAACUUAAGCAUAUCAAUAAGCGGAGGAAAAGAAACUAACAAGGAUUCCCCUAGUAACUGCGAGUGAAGCGGGAAAAGCUCAAAUUUAAAAUCUGGCAGUCUCUGGUUGUCCGAGUUGUAAUCUAGAGAAGUGCUAUCCGCGCUGGACCGUGUACAAGUCUCCUGGAAUGGAGCGUCAUAGAGGGUGAGAAUCCCGUCUUUGACACGGACUGCCAGGGCUUUGUGAUGUGCUCUCAAAGAGUCGAGUUGUUUGGGAAUGCAGCUCAAAAUGGGUGGUAAAUUCCAUCUAAAGCUAAAUAUUGGCGAGAGACCGAUAGCGAACAAGUACCGUGAGGGAAAGAUGAAAAGAACUUUGGAAAGAGAGUUAAACAGUACGUGAAAUUGCUGAAAGGGAAACGCUUGAAGUCAGUCGCGUCGUCCAGGGAUCAACCUUGCUUUUGCUUGGUGCACUUUCUGGUUGACGGGUCAGCAUCAAUUUUGACCAUUGGAAAAAGAUUAGGGGAAUGUGGCAUCUUAGGAUGUGUUAUAGCCCUUGGUUGCAUACAAUGGUUGGGAUUGAGGAACUCAGCACGCCGCAAGGCCGGGUUUUUAACCACGUACGUGCUUAGGAUGCUGGCAUA